GACUUGGCCCUUUUCAGGGCCACCAACUAACGAAAGAAGCUUAGU
rfam:Operophtera brumata OBRT01_Sc00714, whole genome shotgun sequence.